GUGUCAGCAGCCGCGGUAAAACGUAGGUGGCGAGCGUUAUCCGGAUUUACUGGGCGUAAAGGGUGUGCAGGCGGGAGGUCAAGUGGUGUAUGAAAUGGCCCGGCUUAACCGGGCAGCGGUAUGCCAGACUGGCCUUCUUGGGUGCGAGAGAGGGGCGUGGAAUUCCGGGUGUAGUGGUGAAAUGCGUAGAGAUCCGGAGGAACCCCAGAGGCGAAGGCGGCGCCCUGGCUCGCAACCGACGCUCAGACACGACAGCAUGGGGAGCGAACGGGAUUAGAAACCCCCGUAGUCC
rnacentral:rRNA from 1 species